rnacentral:snoRNA from 1 species
AGCAGCCCUGUCAAAUUCAGUGUCAUCUGCUGUGGUUGGUGCUGGCCCUGCCAGCUGCUGCAGAAAUAACUGCAGCUCAUGGGCCUCGGAAUGCGGGAUCACAGAAUGUUUUGGACUGGA